CCUACGGGAGGCAGCAGUGAGGAAUAUUGGUCAAUGGACGAGAGUCUGAACCAGCGAAGUAGCGUGAAGGAUGACUGCCCUAUGGGUUGUAAACUUCUUUUAUAAAGGAAUAAAACGAGGCACGUGUGCCUUUUUGCAUGUACUUUAUGAAUAAGGAUCGGCUAACUCCGUGCCAGCAGCCGCGGUAAUACGGAGGAUCCGAGCGUUAUCCGGAUGUAUUGGGUUUAAGGGGAGCGUAGAUGGGUUGUUAAGUCAGUUGUGAAAGUUUGCGGCUCAACCGUAAAAUUGCAAUUGAUACUGGCAGUCUUGAGUACAGUAGAGGUAGGCGGAAUUCGUGGUGUAGCGGUGAAAUGCUUAGAUAUCACGAAGAACCCCGAUUGCGAAGGCAGCUUACUAAACUGUGACUGACAUUGAUGCUCGAAAGUGUGGGUAUCAAACAGGAUUAGAUACCCGGGUAGUC
rnacentral:rRNA from 1 species